rnacentral:lncRNA from 1 species
CGUCGUCCCCGCCGCGGCCCGCGCCGUCCCCAGCGCCAGCCGCGCGGCCGCGCACCAUUCACCCGGGGGAGAGGCGGAGGAACGUGCGGGUGGGGCAGGGAAGGAAGGCGGCCCCAUCUCCGCCCCCCUUCCCUUCCUUUAUCCCAGUGGGGCCCAGACCCGCGCAACCAGGCGGGGAGGGGAGGUGGGCGCGCGAUUGGGUUGCGAUCUGGAGCAGUGGGGACAGGUCAGGAACCGGCGCGUAUUUCUGCAGUGAGACCACAGGACGGACAUCGGCGCCUUCGGCUUCGAUGGAGUUGCGAUUUUGCUCUUUCCAGGGAAACAGUGGCAGGGUGUUUGCUGCUUAUCGGUUCCUGCGGAUAUGCCUGGGUCCCAGGACAUUCCACUGGAGGCUUGGACUGCAUUUAGGAGCCCCUAUCCCUUCCCUGUCCACACUGUUAGUGAGCAAUUUCAUAUGUUUGCAUUUAGACCCAUAGACUCAGAACGACUCAUCACACACACACACAGUGUACACUGACACACUCACAUUCGCACACUUAGGUAUACAGCCUGAUCCUUGCUCUGACCUGGUAACAACGCUUCCUCCUCCAGAGACUUUGAGAUAGAGCGAGCGAUCCCUGUGCACCAUUCAUCCAUGCUCCCACCUCGCCAGUAUGGCUGGCUUAGUUCUGGAAGGGGCUUAAGAGGAACAAGCCCCAGCUGUGCUUCUGGCUGGGACUUAAACCCCCCUUCUGGGCCCUAAAGCCACGCUUCUUUGUGGACCGGACCUGACUCUCCAGGAAUCUGGGAACCCGCUAUUUCACUCUAUUUUGGGACAAGAAAAAGGGGCUCUUUGGGGCCACUUCCUGCCUUCCCCUCAAGUAGGAUCUCCAGCCUGCAGAGGGUGCCUAGUCCUUCUUUGCCCAAGAACCAGUCCAAGAAGCCUUUCCUCUGUGCCUGGGAAAUGCAACCUUUUCUUGGGAGCAUGGUAGGGUGUUGGUGCUGAAGAACCAAGCAGCGACCCGUCUUGUAGCUGCCAUGUUUUGUCGAGGGGUUCUGGGGGUCCUGCUGCUUUAGAGCCACAUACUUCCACUUCCUGAUUCACUACUGUGAGCUGGUCAGAUGCCUAGAAGAGGAACAAGCGUUCAAAGUGAAAGUGGGCACAUUACCGGAAUAGUGCUGGGGAGAGUGCUGGAUUCUUUUCCACCCCAGGCGGACUGGUGAGAAGCCAGGCUUGGACCUGUCCUCUGCUCCUAGCUUGCACACUCAGCCCUAAACUCAGAGCAGCACGCAUACCACCCCUCACACACACCCCACCAUCUGCUGUCUAAGGCCCCUGGGCUUCCUGCAGGAUCCAGACCAAUGUGGCUGGGCUUGGGCUUUUAUCUGUCCUGAUCCUGGAUUUGUCCUGACCAAUGUAAGUGUCGCCCAAUAAAACCUUCUAUGACCCCCACACCAGCCACCCCCCCACCAAGUGUGCCCUUUCCUUCUUGACUUUUUAGCAGUUCUGGGUAAAUAUUGAUUUGCCCCCAGUUUACCUUCUCCCUGACUGGCCAUUUGCAGACUCAGGAACUAGCCUCUGUAGGGACUUGAUUUUUCUGUUACUUUCUGGCCGUUUCACCACCCCCCUUCCUCCCUCCAAGUGGCAUUGUAAAACUCACAGUGACAAAGAGACAGAGUAGGGUUCUAGGCCCCUGUUCCUGGGGACUUGAAGGCGGUUUUACAUACUGGUCAGACACGGCUGGAGGCCAAGGUCAAGUUGAAAGUUGCAGUCCAGCCAGCAUGAGAACUGCCAUGCGAGCGUAGAGACACAGGCAGCAGCAAAAGGCCCAUUGCCCACAUCCCCUCACUCUUAAUUUUCUCUCUCUUUUUAAAAUUCUCGCCUCUGACUCUGUUCGGCUGCCCAGAAUUUUUUGGUGCCUUCGUGGGGUUUUUGGGGCGGUGUUUACCGACUCUUCUCUGCCUCCGCCCUGCUCAGCCAGGGCUUUGAGCCUCUUCGGUUUUCCGGCCAGACCCGGAAAAACGAAAACACAGCUUGGGGAGCCCCCACUAGCCGGCGCCUGUGCCAGCUCACCUCUGGCCAUGGCGCAGCUGCCGGUGCACACGGCGGCCAAGGCCAGCUCCACAUUCUUCCCUCCCCCUCCCACUUCACCGUAGCCCCGAACCCUGCGCGCAGAGAAAGGGUCUCAGCUCCACAGACGACUGGGUCCCUCCUCACCAAAAAUGGUGAGACAAGAUUUCAUCUGUCGGCCGAGGAGCCACAAGCAGAGAGUCCCUGAGCAAGGAGACCUCCACCCCACACACACCAUUUCAGAACAACCAGGUUCCAGACUCCCAUGAGGAGCAUCUCCCACUGCAGAGCCUUGGCCAGCCGCGCCCGGACUCCUCAGAGCUGGCGCAAACUCCGUCCUCCAAAACUCGGCUCUGGGAGGCCUAAGUGACUCCGAAGCCGGCGGCAGCCGCGGCAGCGGCCGUGGUGGUGGAAGAGCUCUUUUCCCCGACAGUGCCACUGAUCGCUCUUCACUGGAGCUGGAAACAGCCUUCGCGGAAAGGACCGGAGCAUGCGUUAGAAGCAGAGGGAGCUUGGUGAAGGGCUCGGCUGGAAGGAGGAAACGCCUUCUCGCAGUGCGCGGCCAGCCCGCGGGGGACACCGGCUUGCUGGACUGCAGGGGCCCGUGCCACCCAGGAAGUGACCUGCGGGUCACUCAGCCGGGGCGCUGGGCGAGCGCGGGACGGCCCGGAGAAUUCCGUGCGGCUGCGACGGGAAAAGGACGAGGGGUCUCUGUACCCGACGCUGCCACUGGCCCAAAGGAAUUUUACCCGCGAGCGCCCACCCCACCCUAGCUUGAUGCUUACGCCCGCAACAAAACAGGAAACCAGGACUGGGCAGUGCAUUCUUUAAGUCAACAAAUACACUGAAGACUUCGAGCGUUUGAAGGAAGGAGGGGGUUUGCACGUAAGCCUGGCCCCGCCGGGCUCGGCUUUCUCGCUGAGAAAGCGGCGCAGGCAGCCAGGCGGCCUGGGCCCGCGGGGGUCCAUCUCGCCCUAGACUCCUAAGAACUCCCACGGCCCUGUUCCCAGCUGCGAAUUCUUAAUGCACAACGCGACGGAGGGAAGGAAAUUCACCAGCGCAGCGACGAGGAAGGGGAACUCAGGACCCCUUCAAGUACACACUGAGGUGUGAUCAGAGUUUUAUGGGCACUUUAUAUGCUGUAAUCAUAACGAUGUGUGUGCCUUGAUAUGCACGCAUAUUCACGCAUCAAACGUGCAUACACACACAGAGUGAAUGUGCGCAUCCAAUGUCAUGUGGGUGAAAUACAAGCAUCAUACCCAGCCCUACGAAAAAAAAAUUCACCCUGUCGGACCAGGCUGGUGACAUACUUCGCUGGCGCAUCUCCUUACUCACUCUUACUUUUCCGACCCCUCACCAUUCCCUCUCCUGUGGCUUGGUAAAUACACCUGCCCUCCGUGGAAGGUGAGUCCUGGACUGGCGUUGCCAGGUUCGCAUGUCCUCCCCAGAACCUCCGUCUGGCUCCAGGGACUCUCACUGAGCGGGUCUAGAGCACCCAGCACUUUUCAAGGAACAGCCGCGGUUCCUUUGUCCCGCGGCUCCAGCCCCGUUCGGCCCAGCUCUCAGGGAAACGAAGCGCUCAGUAAGAACUUUUGAUAUUAGUUUGUAUGGGUAUUUACACUCUGGUGAGGGGAGCUGAGUACGGAAGUUCCAUUAAUCAUACUCCAACCUUGGGUUUAGAUAUUCAGUUUAUGGGUUGGGAGAGGGAGUUUGCCGGAAAGAAAGCAUCAAGGUUGGCCGCUGACUCCAGAGAAAUGAAAAGGGAGCAAGGUCGUUUUCUGUUUCUGGAAAUCAAGAAUUAGGAAUGGGCAACUACAGGUGCUAACCAACAGACCACUUUUUUGUUUUUUGGUAGCCCUUUGGCAGGGAUAGUUUUUCCACCUUUGCCCGAUACAAUUUAAAAAAAAAAAUCCUUUUAUUAUGGAAUUUGUCAAACACACACACAAGCAUAACAAACCCCUAGGUACCCAUCUCCAAGUUUUGACCCCUAUUAUAAUUUCAUCUUCAGUGUUUUAUUAUCCACUUCCUCUCUCUCUAUCUUUAGUAUUUUAAAGUAAAUCCCAGAUAGCAUCACAUCAUUUCACCCCCACCAUAGGAUUUCAAAGAUCUGUUAUAUUUCAAGAUUGAGUAAAAGGGCUUGAAAUUGGGUUAUUGCAAUGAAACUCUAGAAAAAGCUUGAGGGUUCACCCAGGAGUAAGCUGGACAAAAAAGGGGUUUGAGGGGUGGACCCAUCUUGCCUAAAAAUCUUGUCUCAUCUUUCUAAAAAUUACAUAUGAAAGAGGAAGAUUUAUGUUACUUUUUUAUAUGAGAGAAUCGUCCUUUAAUAGAAAAUUUCUAUUGCUGCAUCAGAAUUAUGGAGGAACACAAAAAACAUACCUCAGUCCUUAGUGUGUCCUAAAUUAACACAUAUUCACUUAUUAGUGGGUAAAUGACUAUAUUUCAUUUCAGCACAACUUCUCCCCUGGUAGAAACACAAAAGAAAUUUCUAAUGAUUAAACUAGGAAAGUUUGCACUGAAUUGAUGGCUUAUCAGAGCAACCGCAGUUUUCAGGAAGAAAUUCAAUGCCAUGCGUUGAAAAUAUCCCCCUAGCAAUAAGGGAUUAUUUUUAAAAAAGAAUGAAUAAAGAUGUUCUGGUUUCUUUUGUUUUAAUCUGGUAGUCUCAUUUACAACGAGCAUGAUUCUCCCUGUCGAACUCUGAAAGUGACUUAACUGAAAGGCUUGGCAACUUCAGAAAGCAAAAAGGUAAAAACAGAAAAUAGCACACGGUUGAAUUUGACAACUUUUACACUACCCGGCUGCUUAAUAAAUUCUAACCCCACUUGUCUGAGUGGAUACUGAUCAUCUUUUCUAUGGCAGUAUUUUGUAUUUGGGUUGUUUAUGGUUUCUUAAUUAAUUUUUUUGAGUAGUGAUUAAAUAUCUGGGAUGCUUUUACACUAAGCAUAUAAAUUCUCAUGGUAUUAGAAAAGAGCUAUUUGAUGAAACUCAUAAGGGGUAUGUAAAUUAAAAAAGAGAAGAAAGUGUGUGUACAUAUUUUACAAUAAUCUCGAACGACUCCAACUAUAUGUUGCAGAAGCCAUGAGCUCUCUGCCCACUGUCUGUGGGGUAUCAGCAAGAUUGACUCCUACCAAGCCUUGGGCACAGUGGUGG